UGGGGAAUAUUGGACAAUGGGGGAAACCCUGAUCCAGCAAUGCCGCGUGGGUGAAGAAGGUCUUCGGAUUGUAAAGCCCUUUUGGCAGGGACGAUGAUGACGGUACCUGCAGAAUAAGCCCCGGCUAACUUCGUGCCAGCAGCCGCGGUAAUACGAAGGGGGCUAGCGUUGCUCGGAAUGACUGGGCGUAAAGGGCGCGUAGGCGGCUUGUACAGUCAGAUGUGAAAUUCCUGGGCUCAACCUGGGGACUGCAUUUGAGACGUAUGGGCUUGAGUGGAGAAGAGGGUCGUGGAAUUUCCAGUGUAGAGGUGAAAUUCGUAGAUAUUGGAAAGAACACCGGUGGCGAAGGCGGCGACCUGGUCUUUAACUGACGCUGAGGCGCGAAAGCGUGGGGAGCAAACAGGAUUAGAUACCCCCGUAGUCC
rnacentral:rRNA from 1 species